UACGAAGGGGGCUAGCGUUGCUCGGAAUCACUGGGCGUAAAGCGCACGUAGGCGGAUCGUUAAGUCAGGGGUGAAAUCCUGGAGCUCAACUCCAGAACUGCCUUUGAUACUGGCGAUCUUGAGUUCGGGAGAGGUGAGUGGAACUGCGAGUGUAGAGGUGAAAUUCGUAGAUAUUCGCAAGAACACCAGUGGCGAAGGCGGCUCACUGGCCCGGAUACUGACGCUGAGGUGCGAAAGCGUGGGGAGCAAACAGGG
rnacentral:rRNA from 1 species